GCUCCGGUGGCCUAGUAGUUAGAGCGUCUGCCUCAGAUGCUGGAGGUCGCGGGUUCGAACCACGGCUGUGCCA